AAGCUUUCGGGCCCAUACCCCGAAAAUGUUGGAUACACCCAACCUUUGCUA
rnacentral:tRNA from 1 species